AAGAAGCGCCGGCUAACUACGUGCCAGCAGCCGCGGUAAUACGUAGGGCGCAAGCGCUGUCCGGAAUUAUUGGGCGUAAAGAGCUCGUAGGCGGCUUGUCACGUCUGCUGUGAAAUCCCGGGGCUUAACCCCGGGCGUGCAGUGGAUACGGGCUGGCUAGAGGCAGGCAGGGGAGAACGGAAUUCCUGGUGUAGCGGUGAAAUGCGCAGAUAUCAGGAGGAACACCGGUGGCGAAGGCGGUCCUCUGGGCCUGUUCUGACGCUGAGGAGCGAAAGCGUGGGGAGCAAACAGGAUUAGAUACCCUGGUAGUCCACGCCGUAAACGUUGGGCGCUAGGUGUGGGUCCCUUCCACGGGGUCUGUACCGCAGCUAACGCAUUAAGCGCCCCGCCUGGGGAGUACGGCCGCAAGGCUAAAACUC
rnacentral:rRNA from 1 species